rnacentral:rRNA from 1 species
CGUGUAGGCGGUCCGGUAAGUCAGCUGUGAAAGUCAAGGGCUCAACCCUUGAAAGCCGGUUGAUACUGUCGGGCUAGAGUCCGGAAGAGGCGAGUGGAAUUCCCGGUGUAGCGGUGAAAUGCGCAGAUAUCGGGAGGAACACCAAUGGCGAAGGCAGCUCGCUGGGACGGUACUGACGCUGAGACGCGAAAGCGUGGGAGCAAACA